GGCCCCAUCGUCUAGUGGUCUAGGACGCCACCCUCUCAAGGUGGAGAUCACGGGUUCAAAUCCCGUUGGGGCCA
rnacentral:tRNA from 1 species